AGCUCAGCUGGUAGAGCACUACGCUCACAUCGUAGGGGUCGCUGGUUCGAGUCCAGCA
rnacentral:tRNA from 1 species